rnacentral:rRNA from 1 species
GACGAACGCUGGCGGCGUGCUUAACACAUGCAAGUCGAGCGGUAAGGCCCUUUCGGGGGUACACGAGCGGCGAACGGGUGAGUAACACGUGGGUGACCUGCCCUUAGCUCUGGGAUAAGCCUGGGAAACUGGGUCUAAUACCGGAUAUGACUCCAUGACGCAUGUUGUGGGGUGGAAAGCCUUGUGCGGCUAGGGAUGGGCCCGCGGCCUAUCAGCUUGUUGGUGGGGUGAUGGCCACCAAGGCGACGACGGGUAGCCGGCCUGAGAGGGCGACCGGCCACAC